rnacentral:rRNA from 1 species
AGAGUUUGAUCAUGGCUCAGAACGAACGCUGGCGGCAGGCUUAACACAUGCAAGUCGAACGCCCCGCAAGGGGAGUGGCGGACGGGUGAGUAACGCGUGGGAACGUGCCUCGAGGUUCGGAAUAACCGAGGGAAACUUCGGCUAACACCGGAUGAGCCCGAAAGGGGAAAGAUUCAUCGCCUUGAGAGCGGCCCGCGUUGGAUUAGCUAGUUGGUGGGGUAACGGCCUACCAAGGCUUCGAUCCAUAGCUGGUCUGAGAGGACGACCAGCCACACUGGGACUGAGACACGGCCCAGACUCCUACGGGAGGCAGCAGUGGGGAAUCUCGGACAAUGGGGGCAACCCUGAUCCAGCCAUGCCGCGUGGGUGAUGAAGGUCUUCGGAUUGUAAAACCCUUUUGGCGGGGACGAUAAUGACGGUACCCGCAGAAGAAGCUCCGGCUAACUUCGUGCCAGCAGCCGCGGUAAUACGAAGGGGGCUAGCGUUGUUCGGAAUUACUGGGCGUAAAGCGCGCGCAGGCGGUCUUGUAAGUCAGAGGUGAAAUCCCUGGGCUCAACCCAGGAACUGCCUUUGAGACUGCGAGGCUUGAGGACGGGAGAGGUGAGUGGAAUUCCCAGUGUAGAGGUGAAAUUCGUAGAUAUUGGGAAGAACACCAGUGGCGAAGGCGGCUCACUGGCCCAUUUCUGACACUGAGGCACGAAAGCGUGGGGAGCGAUCGGGAUUAGAUACCCCGGUAGUCCACGCCGUAAACGAUGGAUGCUAGCUGUGCGGAGUAUCGACCCUCUGCGUAGCAAGCUAACGCGUUAAGCAUCCCGCCUGUGGAGUACGAGCGCAAGCUUAAAACUCAAGGAAUUGACGG